rnacentral:rRNA from 1 species
UACAGAGCCUGCAAGCGUUAUUCGGAUUCACUGGGCGUAAAGGGUGCGCAGGCGGUUGUGUGUGUCAGGUGUGAAAGCCCGGGGCUUAACCCCGGAAUUGCGCCUGAAACUACAUGACUAGAGCAUUGGAGAGGGUAGCGGAAUUCACGGUGUAGCAGUGAAAUGCGUAGAUAUCGUGAGGAACACCAGAGGCGAAGGCGGCUACCUGGACAAUUGCUGACGCUCAGGCACGAAAGCGUGGGGAGCAAAAGGG